rnacentral:rRNA from 1 species
GGGGGACGGGUAGCUAUUACUUGCUAGUCGAGCGUAUGGACUAAUAGCUUGCUCUUAUGAACUUCCCGGCGGACGGGUGAGUAAACCCUGGGUAACCUGCCCAUCAGACUGGGUUGCCUCCGGGGAACCGGGGCUAAUGCCGGAUAACAUUUUGAACUGCCUGGUUCGAAAUUGAGGGGCGGGUUCCGCUGUCACUGAGGGAUGGACCCGCGUCGCAUUAGCUAGUUGGUGAGGUAACGGCUCACCGUUGCCUCGAUGCGUAGCCGACCUGAGAGGGUGAUCGGCCACACUGGGACUGAGACACGCCUUUCACUCCUACGGGAGGCAUUCAAAAUGAAUCUUCCGCAAUGGACCGGUUCUGACGGAUAUCCCACUCUUGAGUGAUGAAGGCUUUCGUGUCACUCACUCUGUUGUUACUAACUAACAAAUGCUAGCUCUUAAUCCAUUCCCUUGACUUGUACCUAAUUAGGCACCCCCCCCUAACUCCUCCUGAGCCACCCUCAAACUCUCAA